GACGGCGCAGUUGGGUUAAUCAGCAUUCACCUUGCCUUUUACCAGAUGAAUCCUUGGCUCACUGCACCAAGCCGCAUUCUCAAUCUUUGGAACACCCCAGAUUCGACUCAUGUUGAAU
rnacentral:snRNA from 1 species